CGGCAGUGGAUCUAAGCGAGCCAUAACCUCCAUCACCAGAUGUUCCGCUGAUUGCGCAAAAAACAUGUAAGGAGUCGUGCAUCCAGGGAGAAUGCAUCGUAUCUUCUUGGUACAUCUAAACAAAACCAAGAUAUCAAUGGGAAGACAAAGAGUACCAACUAGUAGCCGAAUCUUUGGAGGAUACCACCACUGAAGAUCUGGUAACACAUAACGUUUGUGGCACCUUACAUGCUAUAAGAAAUGCACACAAACUGUAUAUGGAAAGGUUGGAGAGAAAGUACAUCAAGCAACAGGAAAAUGGAUGGGACAUGUGCCAGCUGUGGGCAAGACUUGCCUUAUACUAAGUCCCAAGGUCUGUGUUUAGACAAGAACACCUGCUUCUUCUGUGGUUAGCCCAAAGGCAUUCAUUAUGCACAGUUUCCACAUGUGAGACAUGGCAUUAUGAAGCUGCUGCCAUGCAUGUUCAGUGAAGUUUCUGUGUUGCUCUCACGAAGAGGCUGACGCUAGAAUUAUCUUGCGUGCCAUCAAUACCACAAAGAGAGGUGCAUCUGAACUCCAAAUUUUUGCACUAAGACUCAGAUGUUCUAGCGCUCUGUGCAAUUGUGACAGAAUGCACCCCAUACUCGCACCCUACUGUAAUACUCUUUGUACAAAGUAUGCCUUGAGAGGUAUCAUCUGAAAACUCAUAACUUGCUGAUCAGUAAUAUCAUGGUAAAAUGCAUGUAGCAACAUUAUGUGUAAAGUUAUGAACAUAAGCUGACAUCAUGACUGAAGUGUGUUUCCCAGAUAAGUCUGAGGAGGGGCUAAGCCAGUUUCUCUAAAACAAAGGGCAAGCUGAUGGGACAUAACCUAUCAAGUGGACAUUCUUUGGCAAGAAAAGGGGACAUGGACAAAGAGAUCUGCAUCUUAGCAAAAAAACAGCUGGAGGUGUCCUUCCUCCAUCAGACCUCCAUCUCCUGGUUCUCAGAUAGAAAUGUUUUCCAAGGGGGAGAAUUGAAAUUAUAAAAAGGAGGAGCAAACACCCCAAGAGACCUGUUCCUCUCUCUCCCCCUGUCUAUUUCAUAAUUUUGCACCUGAGAAGGCGAAAGAAACAGCCGCUAGACUCUGGGGAAGGGGCCCUGAACGGAAGAGUUUGGUCAGUAACACUCUUGGAAGCAUGUGGUGAGAAAUUUUGCUUUGAAUCUAAUAUAGUUUGUUAAGAUAGGCACUAGAAGGUGUUAUCUUUGUUUUUCUAGUAAUCAUUUUGACUUUUAUGCCUCAUUCCUUGUACUCACUUAAAAUCUCUCUUUUUAUAGUUAAACUUGUUUUACCUAAUCAGUGUGUUUAUCUUAAAGUGUCUGGGUAACUAUUUAAGAUAACAAGCUAGCGUAUAUUAUUCCCUUAAAGGAAUAAUGGACUUAAUAUAUCUGAACUGUCUAGGAGAGGGCUGAGCAGCACAGGACAUAUAUUUUAGGGGGGAAAUUUGCGAUUGGGAAUAUGUUGGGGUCACCCUGCAGAAGUAACCCAAGUGUGGCUGGAAGUUUGCAGUUAUGCACAGACACACAGGACAUGGGUGGCAUGCUGGAAGGCUGUUUGUGAGCAGCCCAGGUGGGAGCUACAGCACCAAGACACUGUAAGGUACCUAAGGUUACAGGACAAUGGUGAGACAGCCCCUCACUGAUCUGGAUUGCACCGUGGUAUGUCACAGAGAUGCUACCCAAGACUUUCAGAAGAUUCUGUUUUUGUGCCUGCUGCUGAGGAGCAGAAUCGCAGUGUAUCCCUCAGAGACCUGUUCCUAUCACUCGGACCAUUAAAAGCUGCCACUCUGCCAGGUCUCCACGCCCUUUCAGAAUGUGACACUACUGGAGGUUGGUUGGGAAGACCACAUUAUCUUACUGGAAGGCUUUUGUUUCAGCCUCCAAAGACUCUAUCCCGGCUCUGGAGGUGCUUGGAACAGCUGAGACAAUCACUGAUGAGGUCAUAAGUACGCUGGAGGUGUUUACAUGAUGAGUUUGCCGUUUGAAGACCAACAUUACGACACUUGCCGAGUUACAUUGGUAGACAUUUUCCAAGAGGAAGGCAGACGGAACAAAACUGCCACUGAGAAGGGGUGCCAUCUAGAGGGCAAAUUAUCAAGCAAUGGAAUGGGUCUGGGAUGAUCAAACAUAUCCAAAACUACCAUCCCCUAUCAGGCAUGAAGGGGUAUUGGAGGAUGGACUGAUCACACUAGUCAUGUUUGAAAUACCAUGCGCUCCCCAAUCAGUCCUUCAACUAAUCAAAUGUUUGUGCACAAAGACCAGGUGCUCACCACCAUGCAAAUGUUUAGCCAGCAGCCUUCCUUGUACAGAGAAGUCCAAGUGUGAUAUGGACGAGGAUCAGCAUGACAAUGGGUCUAGCAGUGAUGCCUUAGAUGGAGAUGACUUUGAUGAAUAAAUAUUUUCAGUCGUACAUGUCAAGGAUAACUUCCCUAGGGUUGCCAGAGAUCAGUGUCCUUUUUAAUGUAAGCAAUGCAUCCCUGUGUUAGAGUAUCAUUAAAAAAACAUUGAUUUUUCAACAUUU